rnacentral:rRNA from 1 species
AUUGAACGCUGGCGGCAGGCCUAACACAUGCAAGUCGAACGCGUGGCGGACGGGUGAGUAAUGUCUGGGAAACUGCCCGAUGGAGGGGGAUAACCACUGGAAACGGUCGCUAAUACCGCAUACCCUCGGAUGUGCCCAGCUGGGAUUAGCUAGUAGGUGGGGUAACGGCUCACCUAGGCGACGCACCCUAGCUGGUCUGAGAGGAUGACCAGCCACACUGGAACUGAGACACGGUCCAGACUCCUACGGGAGGCAGCAGGGGGGAAUAUUGCACAAUGGGCGCAAGCCUGAUGCAGCCAUGCCGCGUGUAUGAAGAAGGCCUUCGGGUUGUAAAGUACUUUCAGCGAGGAGGCGUUACUCGCAGAAGAAGCACCGGCUAACUCCGUGCCAGCAGCCGCGGUAAUUC